rnacentral:rRNA from 1 species
UACGGAGGGUGCAAGCGUUGUUCGGAAUUAUUGGGCGUAAAGAGAACGUAGGCGGAUCUGUGUGUCGAUUGUGAAAGCCCAGGGCUCAACCUUGGAAUUGCAGUCGAAACUGCGGAUCUUGAAUACUUGAGAGGGUGGGGGAAUUCCUGGUGGAGAAGUGAAAUUCGUAGAGAUCAGGAGGAACAUCAGAGGCGAAGGCGCCUGCCUGGCAAUGUAUUGACGCUGAGGUUCGAAAGCGUGGGGAGCAAACAGG